ensembl:piRNA 21ur-1189 ncRNA
UACCAUGCCAGCACGACUAUA